UACGAAGGGUGCUAGCGUUGUUCGGAAUUACUGGGCGUAAAGCGCGCGUAGGCGGCGUAACAAGUCAGAGGUGAAAGCCUGGAGCUCAACUCCAGAAUUGCCUUUGAAACUGUUAUGCUAGAGUGUCGGAGGGGAUAGCGGAAUUGCUAAUGUAGAGGUGAAAUUCGUAGAUAUUAGCAGGAACACCGGUGGCGAAGGCGGCUAUCUGGACGACAACUGACGCUGAGGCGCGAAAGCGUGGGGAUCAAACAGG
rnacentral:rRNA from 1 species